rnacentral:rRNA from 1 species
GAUGAACGCUGGCGGCGUGCCUAAUACAUGCAAGUCGAGCGGCAGCACGGUCUUCGGACUGGUGGCGAGCGGCGGACGGCAGAGUAACGCGUAGGAAUAUACCCCAAAGUGAGGGAUAAGCUCCAGAAAUGGAGUCUAAUACCGCAUAUGGUCUUCGGAUUAAAGCCUUCGGGCGCUAUGGGAAUAGCCUGCGUUCGAUUAGCUAGUUGGUGAGGUAAUGGCUCACCAAGGCGACGAUCGAUAGCUGGUCUGAGAGGAUGAUCAGCCUGACUGGAACUGAGAUACGGUCCAGACUCCUACGGGAGGCAGCAGUGGGGAAUAUUGGGCAAUGGGGGAAACCCUGACCCAGCGACGCCGCGUGAGGGAAGACGGCCUUCGGGUUGUAAACCUCUUUUGUACGGGAAGAAGGAAGUGACGGUACUGUACGAAUAAGUCCCGGCUAACUACGUG